rnacentral:rRNA from 1 species
UACGUAGGGUGCAAGCGUUGUCCGGAAUUAUUGGGCGUAAAGAGCUCGUAGGCGGUCUGUCGCGUCGGCUGUGAAAACCCGGAGCUCAACUCCGGGCCUGCAGUCGAUACGGGCAGACUGGAGUUCGGCAGGGGAGACUGGAAUUCCUGGUGUAGCGGUGAAAUGCGCAGAUAUCAGGAGGAACACCGGUGGCGAAGGCGGAUCUCUGGGCCGAUACUGACGCUGAGGAGCGAAAGCGUGGGGAGCGAACAGG